rnacentral:lncRNA from 1 species
AAUGGGUAAGACUUGCCAAAAGUGGACGGACUGAUGGCUUCACUAACCGGAUGCAAUCGAUUCGGAUCGAAUUGAAUAAUUAAAAUUUUAAAUUUAAAUUAAUUUAAAAUAUUUGAAUUUAAAAUUUGAUUCGAGAUCGAUUGGAUCUUAAUAUAUGAGUUUAAUUUUAUAAAAAAUAGAUAAAAUUCAAGAUCGAUUCAAUUUCGAUUUGAAUAUCAAUCAAACUGUAUUUAAACUC